GAUGAACGCUAGCGGCAGGCCUAAUACAUGCAAGUCGAACGGGACUAAGGAGCUUGCUUCUUAUGAGAGUGGCGCACGGGUGCGUAACACGUAUGCAACCUACCUUCAACAGGGGGAUAGCCUUCCGAAAGGAAGAUUAAUACCGCAUAACAUAAUUGAACGGCAUCGUUUGAUUAUCAAACCUACGGGGGUUGAAGUGGGCAUGCGUCCGAUUAGUUAGUUGGUGAGGUAACGGCUCACCAAGGCAUCGAUCGGUAGGGGAUCUGAGAGGAUGACCCCCACCACUGGUACUGAGACACGGACCAGACUCCUACGGGAGGCAGCAGUAAGGAAUAUUGGUCAAUGGACGGAAGUCUGAACCAGCCAUGCCGCGUGCAGGAAGACGGUCCUCUGGAUUGUAAACUGCUUUUUGUUAGGGAAGAAACCCCCGAAUGCGUUCGGGUCUGGACGGUACCUAAGAAUAAGGAUCGGCUAACUCUGUGCCAGCAGCCGCGGUAAUACGGAGGAUCCAAGCGUUAUCCGGAUUUAUUGGGUUUAAAGGGUGCGUAGGCGGCGUUGUAAGUCAGUGGUGAAAGUUUGCAGCUUAACUGUAAAAUUGCCAUUGAUACUGCAGUGCUUGAGUACAGAUGAGGUGGGCGGAAUGUGUCAUGUAGCGGUGAAAUGCAUAGAUAUGACACAGAACACCGAUUGCGAAGGCAGCUCACUAAACUGUAACUGACGCUGAGGCACGAAAAGCGUGGGGGAUC
rnacentral:rRNA from 1 species